GAUGAACGCUGGCGGCGUGCUUAACACAUGCAAGUCGAACGGAAAGGCUCCUGCCUGCAGGGGUACUCGAGUGGCGAACGGGUGAGUAACACGUGGGUGAUCUGCCCUGUACUUCGGGAUAAGCUUGGGAAACUGGGUCUAAUACCGGAUAUGACAAUCUCUUGGAUGGGGUUGUGGAAAGCUUUUGCGGUAUGGGAUGAGCUCGCGGCCUAUCAGCUUGUUGGUGGGGUAAUGGCCUACCAAGGCGUCGACGGGUAGCCGGCCUGAGAGGGUGUACGGCCACAUUGGGACUGAGAUACGGCCCUGACUCCUACGGGAGGCAGCAGUGGGGAAUAUUGCACAAUGGGCGCAAGCCUGAUGCAGCGACGCCGCGUGGGGGAUGACGGCCUUCGGGUUGUAAACUCCUUUCGCAACCGACGAAGCUUUUGUGACGGUAGGUUGAGAAGAAGCACCGGCUAACUACGUG
rnacentral:rRNA from 1 species